rnacentral:tRNA from 1 species
CAGACGUUAGUUUAACAAAGAUUAUGGCUUUGGGAGCUUUAGAUUCUAGACUUCCUAGAACGUCUGA